UCCCUGGUAGCUCAGUUGGUAAAGAAUCCGCCUGCAAUGCAGGAGACCCAGGUUCAAUCCCUGGGUGGGGAA
rnacentral:tRNA from 1 species